rnacentral:lncRNA from 10 species
GUAGAGAGGGUUGCUUACUAACACAGCCAGGGAGGACUGGGGAAGGAUUCCAGCUGCCUGAGCUAAGCCAGGAAGGGAAAAUUGGAGUUAGCAAGGCAAGGAAGGUCAUUCCAGGCAGUGGAAACAGAAUGAGCAAAGGCAAGAGAAAAGGCUAUUUGCUUUUGAGCUACUCCGGGAGAGGAGCAGAGUCGGUUUGAGUUGCAUGACUGACAUCUUCUGGCUACAGUGGAUAUUACAGAAAGACUGAAACUCCGCAAAAGACUCUAGACAUGUGACCUGGAGAUGCAGCAUCCAUCUUGUGACCAUGAAGCAAUAGGGAUAAGGGUAAAAGUCUACACAUUGCAGAUUGCAGAUAAAAACAUGAAAAGAUCCUGGCUGCCUGAUGACACUACAGGGGAGAAAUUGAGAGUAGAAAGAAGAAUGACGAGGUUUACGCUCUCCUGAGGAAGGACCCUCAAGAGAGGACCUUAUGAACACAAUUAGCUACUGAAAAAGACUUGGAAAAAAUUAUGGCACAAUGAAGAAAAUAAUCUUCAAGGCUCAGUGGAAGAAAAAGAAGAGAGGAGGUCUCAGAGAGGUAAUUCAUGAAGUGAGCAUCAAAGCAUGGAAUAACUAAUUGUGUUAAAGACAAAUGUGCCAGCAUGGAGCUAAAUUCGGAGAAAAAAAAAGUAAUGUCAAAAAGAAUGUGGCGGACAGGCAUGGUGACUCACAUCUGUAAUCCCAGCACUUUGGGAGGCCGAGGUAGGAGGAUUGCCUGAUAUCAGGAGUUUGAGACCAGCCUGACCAACAUGGAGAAACCCACUCAUGGUGGUGCAUGCCUGUAGUCCCAGCUACUCAGGAGGCUGAGGCAGGAGAAUCGCUUCAACCCAGGAGGCGGAGGUUGCAGUGAGCCAAGAUGGGGCCACUGCAAUUCCAGCCUGCGUGACAGAGCAAGACUGUCUCACAAAAAAAAAAAAAAAGAAAGAAAGAAAGAAUGUGGCAAUCAAUUUUACCUGGGAGGAGGGAGGAGUAAGGGAGGC